rnacentral:lncRNA from 1 species
GUUCUGAGGACUUAUUUCAGGCCCUGCUCUGGGGGGAUAUUAAGGAUACAGCGUCACAUGGACACACGGUGUUUCCGUGAUAGGCAUAGUUCUGUGGGGUGUUCGAAGCACUUGCAUAUGCAGUUUUGUGUGCCCUGUGAGAACGCAGUGCUGGUAUUUGAAUCCUUGUUGAUAGACGCAUAAACUAGAGCUCGGAGCAAGGGCUGCUCCCAGCACUGGAGCCUGGGAUCUUCUGACUCCAGCUCCCACGCCUCUUUGCAUGACCCUGUCACGUCCCCUUUUAUGAUGGGGCACCCCCUUGGAAGGCGUCUGUGGAAGUGGAAGCUGCAGAAAGCCUGUGGGAGCUCCUGGCGGGAGCUGGUCUCGUGUUGCUGCUCUGAGCCACCAGCUCUGCUUUGCCUCAGGCUCACCAGUGGCCUGGGCAGCUCCUCUGUGCUCCGGUGCCCUGCAUACCUUGGUCUGGCUGCUGUGUCCCGGCCUCCUGGAGAAGGGGUGAAAAACAUGAACUUACAGGGCUUUGGGUUCCACGUGCAAGCACGGAACAUUAAGCAAAAUCCCAAUACACAGAGUCUGUCACAGACAGGGACGGAGCUGAAGACCAUCAACGACUUUCUCUUCCAGAGCCAGAUCGACAACAUCAACCUGUUCAAGGUAGAGGUUUCCACCUUUCCACAUUCCACAUCCAAUUUCCUUCCUGUCACCACCUGUGGGUAAAGUACUAUGUUAAGACUAUAGAAGAAAGAAAAAGCAAAACAGAUGUGUAAUUACUUAACCCUUAACGCAACACGCCUGUGAGACAAAAGUCAUCUUCUUUUAGAGUGAAGGCCACAGGGAUGAGGGAUGGGUGAGAAAGGGA